GACGAACGCUGGCGGCGUGCUUAACACAUGCAAGUCGAACGGUGAAGCUCCAGCUUGCUGGAGUGGAUCAGUGGCGAACGGGUGAGUAACACGUGAGCAACCUGCCCCUGACUCUGGAAUAAGCGCUGGAAACGGCGUCUAAUACUGGAUACGAGAAGGGUCCGCAUGGGCACUUUCUGGAAAGUUUUUCGGUUGGGGAUGGGCUCGCGGCCUAUCAGCUUGUUGGUGAGGUAAUGGCUCACCAAGGCGACGACGGAUAGCCGGCCUGAGAGGGCGACCGGCCACACUGGGACUGAGACACGGCCCAGACUCCUACGGGAGGCAGCAGUGGGGAAUAUUGCACAAUGGGCGAAAGCCUGAUGCAGCGACGCCGCGUGAGGGAUGACGGCCUUCGGGUUGUAAACCUCUUUCAGCAGGGAAGAAGCGAAAGUGACGGUACCUGCAGAAGAAGCACCGGCUAACUACGU
rnacentral:rRNA from 1 species